GUGGAGCAAAACUCAAAAACUUGUCUCAGUUCGGAUUGUAGGCUGAAACUCGCCUACAUGAAGCUGGAGUUGCUAGUAAUCGCGAAUCAGCAUGUCGCGGUGAAUACGUUCCCGGGCCUUGUACACACCGCCCGUCACACCAUGAGAGUUGGCAAUACCCAACGUACGUGAUCUAACCCGCAAGGGAGGAAGCGUCCUAAGGUAGGGUCAGCGAUUGGGGUGAAGUCGUAACAAGGUACC
rnacentral:rRNA from 1 species